rnacentral:rRNA from 1 species
UACGUAGGGGGCAAGCGUUGUCCGGAAUCAUUGGGCGUAAAGCGCGCGUAGGCGGCCCGAUAAGUCUGCUGUGAAAGUCCAGGGCUCAACCCUGGAAUGCCGGUGGAUACUGUCGGGCUAGAGUUCGGAAGAGGCAAGUGGAAUUCCUGGUGUAGCGGUGGAAUGCGCAGAUAUCAGGAGGAACACCUAUAGCGAAGGCGGCUCACUGGCCCGGUACUGACGCUGAGGUGCGAAAGCGUGGGGAGCAAACAGG